AACGUGCCCAAUAGUGGGGGAUAGCCCGGCGAAAGCCGGAUUAAUACCGCAUGAGACCUGAGGGUGAAAGCGGGGGAUUCGCAAGAACCUUGCGCUAAUGGAGCGGCCGAUAUCAGAUUAGGUAGUUGGUGGGGUAAAAGCCUACCAAGCCGACGAUCUGUAGCUGGUCUGAGAGGACGACCAGCCACACUGGGACUGAGACACGGCCCAGACUCCUACGGGAGGCAGCAGUGGGGAAUUUUGGACAAUGGGCGCAAGCCUGAUCCAGCCAUGCCGCGUGCGG
rnacentral:rRNA from 1 species